rnacentral:rRNA from 1 species
AUUGAACGCUGGCGGAAUGCUUUACACAUGCAAGUCGAACGGCAGCACGGACUUCGGUCUGGUGGCGAGUGGCGAACGGGUGAGUAAUACAUCGGAACGUGCCCAAUCGUGGGGGAUAACGUAGCGAAAGCUACGCUAAUACCGCAUACGAUCUAAGGAUGAAAGCGGGGGAUCGCAAGACCUCGCGCGAUUGGAGCGGCCGAUGGCAGAUUAGGUAGUUGGUAGGGUAAAGGCCUACCAAGCCGACGAUCUGUAGCUGGUCUGAGAGGAUGAUCAGACACACUGGGACUGAGACACGGCCCAGACUCCUACGGGAGGCAGCAGUGGGGAAUUUUGGACAAUGGACGCAAGUCUUAUCCAGCCAUUCCGCGUGCAGGAUGAAGGCCCUCGGGUUGUAAACUGCUUUUGUACAGAACGAAAAGGCUCUGGUUAAUACCUAGGGCUCAUGACGGUACUGUAAGAAUAAGCACCGGCUAACUACGUGCCAGCCGCCGCGGUAA